rnacentral:lncRNA from 1 species
CCGGUGCCCGGUUCCGGUGCCGCCGCUGUUCCGGUGCCGGUGCCGGUGACCGAUUCCGGUGCCGCCGCUGUUGCGGUGCCCGGUUCCGGUGCCCGGUUCCGAUGCCCGGUGCCGGUGACCGGUUCCGGUGCCGUCGCUGUUCCGGUGCCCGGUUCCGGUGCCCGGUUCCGGUGCCCAGUUCCGAUGCCCGGUGCCGGUGCCCGGUUCCGGUGCCCGGUUCCGGUGCCCGGUGCCGCCGCGGUUCCGGUGCCCGGCGCGGGCCCAGCCCGGUGCGCGGCGCUGUUGCACCGGAGUUGAGCGGGACGAGCGCGGCCGCCGGGAAAUGUCGCCGUGCUCUCCUCAGGUUCUGGCAGUGCCACAUGGAGAAAACAUCCACAUCACUGUAAAAUGCUUCAUGGUGAAUAAAGAGAAAAGACUCCUCUAAGGCAGGAGAAGGCUGAUGUUGGUCCUGGAGUGGCCCUGGUGCUGCAGUGGCUCUGGGUGCUGGCCCUGGGCAGCUGAGGUUUGACCCGAGUGGAACUCGCUGCCGGCUCCUCGCACCCGCUGCUGGCACAGCACAGAGGGAAUCAGUUCUCCUGAUUCUCACCUAAUGAAGCCAUUCGGAGACUGCAGCUCUGUCACUUGUGCAGUUACUGAAUAUAAUCAUCCCAAUAAAAUCUACAGUUAAGAAAAAAUCCA